rnacentral:rRNA from 1 species
AUGCCUAACACAUGCAAGUCGAACGGUAACAUGUCCCGCACAUAAAUCACUUUUUCUCCCAAAUAAAGUUAGUUUUUGUUUCAAGAGUGAUUUAUGUGCGGGAUGAUGACGAGUGGCGGACGGGUGAGUAAUACGUAGGAAUCUGCCUUAUAGUGGGGGACAACCCGGGGAAACUCGGGCUAAUACCGCAUAAUCUCUAAGGAGCAAAGCAGGGGACCGUAAGGCCUUGCGCUGUAAGAUGAGCCUACGUCGGAUUAGCUAGUUGGCGGGGUAAAAGCCCACCAAGGUUACGAUCCGUAGCUGGUCUGAGAGGACGGCCAGCCACACUGGGACUGAGACACGGCCCAGACUCCUACGGGA